AAAGAGAACGGGCCAAAACGAGUAAAAUAACUGGAAUCGCCACACUUAGGCUAAGCCAGGCAUGACGAGUCGGGCAACAUCAUGGAAAAAGGGGAGAGACGAUAGAACUUUUGGCAUGAGUUUUAAUCCCCACAACAACAUUCCUAGAAUCCUAUGACC